ACAAUGAGAAAGGCAGCAUCAUAUGUCGGAAUGGGGGGAGGACGGCUCAGUUGUAUAAUCGUUUUAAACAUGAUUCUCUAAAGAAACAUCUGAUCGGGAUUAUCUAGCCAUUCAUUCAAACGCAACAAGACUUAAGGAUGGGCUCUUCAUUUUCAGAGGCUCUAAGGGGGGAAUCGGAAAAUAGCAGCUGCUGAAAAAAUAAAUAAGUGGCCCUCCUGGAGAUGGAGAUUCGGAGGACGGCGAGCUCCAGGCAGCAGCGGCCCUCCGAGCUGAGCCGAAGAGAUGCUGACAAACGAAAAGGAACGUUUCUAGACAACACACAGAAUUGGCAUGGCCUGAUGAGGAGAGGAACAGCCUUGCUGGCAAGAAGCUGACAAAAAAAGGACUCUGCAAUAUAUACAUCAAAGCUUCUGCAAAUGGCUGAGAAACCCGGAUUGCACCCUCUGCUUAUUAUUCACAAAUCAACUGGUAAAUGGGAAAUGAAGCCCAAGGAGUGGCGCAGGAUCUGCCAAGCUGUAGCUACCAUAAUUACUAAGAAGACCCAAGCGGAUUAAUAUUUCAUUCUCAAGAACAAUAGUUAAAUCAUAAAAAUGCCUUUUUGGGAAACAAGCCCCCGAUCCAAGAGCUCUAUUUGACUGUAGAAUGAGUCAAAGAAGGGCUUGUCUUCUCCUCCCCCAAAUGGAAAAUUUCACUAAUUCCAAAUUCCGACCUUAGGGAUUGCACAUCUAUCCCCCUUUCUUAAAAGGCAGGAAAGAAAAAAAGUUGGACUUGCCUAGGGACUCAUAACCUUGCAGAGGUGUGCAAAGCAUGGAAGAAACAAAGUCAGUUUCAUUGAUGAGAACCUGAAUUGGUAUCUAUAAAUGAUGUGAGCCUUUUCUAGUAGGAGAUCAAGGAAUUCUUCACACUGGACUAUCAGAGGAGUGCCCAUCCUCACAAUAUUCCCUGAUGUCAGGCGACCACAAUUUGAAAGACUUCAGCACCUGAAGGUCCCAUCAGAAUAAGCUUCCUAAGAGAGUUUUGCAGUUGGGAUUCACUCAUGAAAUUUGCAAAAAGAUUUUCCCUUCCUCUCUCCUCCUCUCCCAGAUUAAAGGCCCUUAUUUAUGAAAA